rnacentral:rRNA from 1 species
GACGAACGCUGGCGGCGUGCCUAAUACAUGCAAGUUGAGCGCUGAAGGUUGGUACUUGUACCAACUGGAUGAGCAGCGAACGGGUGAGUAACGCGUGGGGAAUCUGCCUUUGAGCGGGGGACAACAUUUGGAAACGAAUGCUAAUACCGCAUAAAAACUUUAAACACAAGUUUUAAGUUUGAAAGAUGCAAUUGCAUCACUCAAAGAUGAUCCCGCGUUGUAUUAGCUAGUUGGUGAGGUAAAGGCUCACCAAGGCGAUGAUACAUAGCCGACCUGAGAGGGUGAUCGGCCACAUUGGGACUGAGACACGGCCCAAACUCCUACGGGAGGCAGCAGUAGGGAAUCUUCGGCAAUGGACGAAAGUCUGACCGAGCAACGCCGCGGGAGGGAAGAAGGGUUUCGGAUCGUAAAACUCUGUUGGUAGAGAAGAACGUUGGUGAGAGUGGAAAGCUCAUCAAGUGACGGUAACUACCCAGAAAGGGACGGCUAACUACGUG